rnacentral:lncRNA from 1 species
CAUCUGUAUCUGCUAAAUGUUCCUCUGUACCUGCUAAAUGUUCCUCUGUAUCUGCUAAAUGUUCCUUUGUAUCUGCUAAAUGUUCAUCUGUAUCUGCUAAAUGUUCCUUUGUAUCUGCUAAAUGUUCAUCUGUAUCUGCUAAAUGUUCCUCUGUACCUGCUAAAUGUUCCUCUGUAUCUGCUAAAUGUUCCUUUGUAUCUGCUAAAUGUUCAUCUGUAUCUGCUAAAUGUUCCUCUGUAUCUGCUAAAUGUUCAUCUGUAUCUGCUAAAUGUUCCUCUGUACCUGCUAAAUGUUCCUCUGUAUCUGCUAAAUGUUCCUUUGUAUCUGCUAAAUGUUCAUCUGUAUCUGCUAAAUGUUCCUUUGUAUCUGCUAAAUGUUCAUCUGUAUCUGCUAAAUGUUCCUCUGUACCUGCUAAAUGUUCCUCUGUAUCUGCUAAAUGUUCAUCUGUAUCUGCUAAAUGUUCCUCUGUAUCUGCUAAAUGUUCCUAAUGUUCCUUUGUAUCUGCUAAAUGUUCAUCUGUAUCUGCUAAAUGUUCCUCUGUAUCUGCUAAAUGUUCCUUUGUAUCUGCUAAAUGUUCAUCUGUAUCUGCUAAAUGUUCCUCUGUACCUGCUAAAUGUUCCUUUGCAUCUGCUAAAUUCUCCUCUGUAUCUGCUAAAUGUUCCUCUGUACCUGCUAAAUGUUCCUCUGUAUCUGCUAAAUGUUCCUUUGUAUCUGCUAAAUGUUCCUCUGUAUCUGCUAAAUUCUCCUCUGUAUCUGCUAAAUGUUCCUCUGUACCUGCUAAAUGUUCCUCUGUAUCUGCUAAAUUCUCCUCUGUAUCUGCUAAAUGUUCCUCUGUACCUGCUAAAUGUUCCUCUGUAUCUGCUAAAUGUUCCUUUGUAUCUGCUAAAUGUUCAUCUGUAUCUGCUAAAUGUUCCUCUGUAUCUGCUAAAUGUUCAUCUGUAUCUGCUAAAUGUUCAUCUGUAUCUGCUAAAUGUUCCUCUGUAUCUGCUAAAUGUUCCUUUGUAUCUGCUAAAUGUUCAUCUGUAUCUGCUAAAUGUUC